rnacentral:rRNA from 1 species
UGGGGAAUAUUGCACAAUGGGCGCAAGCCUGAUGCAGCGACGCCGCGUGAAGGAAGAAGGUCUUCGGAUUGUAAACUUCUAUCAGCAGGGAAGAAAAAAUGACGGUACCUGACUAAGAAGCUCCGGCUAACUACGUGCCAGCAGCCGCGGUAAUACGUAGGGAGCGAGCGUUAUCCGGAUUUACUGGGUGUAAAGGGUGCGUAGGCGGUUUGUUAAGUCAGAAGUGAAAUUUAGGGGCUCAACCUCUAAGCUGCUUCUGAAACUGAUGAACUAGAGUGUGGGAGAGGAAAGUGGAAUUCCGAGUGUAGCGGUGAAAUGCGUAGAGAUUCGGAGGAACACCAGUAGCGAAGGCGGCUUUCUGGACCAUAACUGACGCUGAGGCACGAAAGCGUGGGGAGCAAACAGG